AUGUUAUGUUACAUUGUUUUUGGGUAUACUGAAAUUUCAUAGUUCGUAUCACUAUAAUGAUUUAGAGCCUUCUUUUUUAUUUAUUUAAAAAAAAAAUCCUUUUAUGUUGUAUUAUUGUAUGCAAUUAGGUUUUGUUUGGAUUCAAGAAAUUGUAAUUUUUGAAAAUAACAUUUUUGAUGCUCUAAUCAUGCUUUUAUUUGAUACACUUGGGAAUGACUAACAUUGAUCCUUCAUUAUUCUUUUUUUUUGAACGGCAAAGAAAGGCAAACUUUAUUGAUGAUGAUAAAAGGUACAAGAUGUACACACAAACUUCAAAACACCAACAAAGAGAAGAGGGAGAAAACAAGAUAGUCGGCAACGAGAUGCAUAGUGCCCAGCAAAGAGCAUAGAGCCCAGCAUUGCAACCAGAUGCAGACCAAACCUGCAUAGUGCCCAGCAUAACAGAAUAACUCUCACUUAGCAGAACCCAUCUCCUACUUCAGACACCCCUUUAUACAUUUCUCAAACAGACCAAACAGAGUUCUAAGAUCAGCCAACAGCAGGCUAACACAAACCAUAAAACUGAGAGGACCAAACCAGCAGUAGCAGAGGCAGCAGCAGCAAGCCAAAACAGAUCAAAACAGAGCCAGAACAGAGCCAAAAACAGACAGCAAACAGCAGCUGGGAUACUCAUUCAGCCCCUGAUCUGUUUCCACUUGAAAACUAUAUCAUCCACUGAGAAGGGGAAAUCCUUGACUGAUGCUUUGAGCCAAAGGGCAGUUCUAAUUUUGAUGAGAUCAAUCAGUCCAAAAAAAUUGGGGUGAGCCUUCAUUAUUCUUGGGAUGUGAUUUUUUUGGGUAUAGGCUAGGGUUGCCACUUCAUGCAACUUUUAUGCAACUUCAUGCAACUUUGGAAUGACUAACAGUGAUCCUUCAUUACUCCAACGCUUCUCGUCCCCCUCCCUGGGCACUAAUUGGACUUUCACACUUUAUUCGAGGAUUAUAUUAUUUCGUUUUCAGGUGUUAGAAGGACUUAAAGUGGACUUGUGGCGUAGUGGGGACUCGAUUGCAUGGACCUCUAGGACAUUCAUUUAUUUUGUUUUAGCUUGUUAUGUCGAGUUUUGUGCAUAUAUUGUGGUUGGGUUUGAUUUGGAAUUAUUUUAUUUUGUGGGCGGUUUGUGUCCCAUUUAGUAUAUAUUUUUGGAAGUUGGUUGUGGUUGGUGUUACCAUUUAGUUUGUGACAUGUCAGUGGAUUGGGUUUUGAUUUAUUUAUUUAUGGGCUAUCGUCACAUUUAUUCUUUGUGAUUUUGGGUUCAUGUUUAAGGCUUACGUGUGCCUUGGGCUUAGUCCCUGUGGGCCACGGCUGGUCAUGCCUGGAGUUGGGGUGUGACAGACUUCUAAUUCUAAAUAAGAUGUUUAGAUAUUAUGACUGAAAAAUGGGCAGUAGCUGGAAUUGAAUUUUCCCUGCAGGUUGCAGCUGGAGCCUUAAUUGCCUAAUUAGAUUGUUGUUGUUACUUUGUUGAAAGUUCAGUUCAAAAAUGGCUUAAAUAUAUGGAGUGGGAAAAUAUUACUUUUUAGGAUUGAUUUCUAGUUUUUCGUCCACUGGAUCCAGAGACAGAACUAUGCUAUGGCUUGGGGUGGUCAUGGCCCCCUCAGCCCUUGAUAAGCCUCUAUGUCUAUGCUUGCUAGUAACUAAGAAUUCAAAAGUUUUCAGAAUAGUGUCCCCUCCAAUAUAU